GACGUGACUUCAGAGUUUGAUCCUGGCUCAGGAUGAACGCUGGCGGCGUGCUUAACACAUGCAAGUCGAACGGGGUGCCUUUGAUUGAGACUUCGGUUGAUUGAUUAGGUUACCUAGUGGCGGACUGGUGCGUAACACGUGAGUAACCUGCCUCGGAGUGUGGAAUAACACAGCGAAAGUUGUGCUAAUACCGCAUAAUGUAGUUGCACCGCAUGGUGCUGACUACCAAAGAUUUAUUGCUCUGAGAUGGACUCGCGGCCGAUUAGCUAGUUGGUGAGGUAACGGCUCACCAAGGCGACGAUCGGUAGCCGGACUGAGAGGUUGACCGGCCACAUUGGGACUGAGAUACGGCCCAG
rnacentral:rRNA from 1 species